AACUUAGUGGCGGACGGGUGAGUAACGCGUGAGUAACCUGCCUUUCAGAGGGGGAUAACGUCCUGAAAAGGACGCUAAUACCGCAUGAUAUAUUUGUGCCGCAUGGUAUGGAUAUCAAAGGAGCAAUCCGCUGGAAGAUGGACUCGCGUCCGAUUAGCUAGUUGGAGGGGUAACGGCCCACCAAGGCGACGAUCGGUAGCCGGACUGAGAGGUUGAACGGCCACAUUGGGACUGAGACACGGCCCAGACUCCUACGGGAGGCAGCAGUGGGGGAUAUUGCGCAAUGGGGGAAACCCUGACGCAGCAACGCCGCGUGAAGGAAGAAGGUUUUCGGAUUGUAAACUUCUUUUCUAAGGGACGAAGAAGUGACGGUACCUUAGGAAUAAGCUCCGGCUAACUACGUGCCAGCAGCCGCGGUAAUACGUAGGGAGCAAGCGUUGUCCGGAUUUACUGGGUGUAAAGGGUGCGUAGGCGGCAAUGCAAGUCAGAUGUGAAAUGCACGGGCUCAACCCGUGAGCUGCAUUUGAAACUGUGUUGCUUGAGUGAGGUAGAGGCAGGCGGAAUUCCCGGUGUAGCGGUGAAAUGCGUAGAGAUCGGGAGGAACACC
rnacentral:rRNA from 1 species